GAUGAACGCUGGCGGCGUGCCUAAUACAUGCAAGUAGAACGCUGAAGGAGGAGCUUGCUCUUCUGGAUGAGUUGCGAACGGGUGAGUAACGCGUAGGUAACCUGCCUGGUAGCGGGGGAUAACUAUUGGAAACGAUAGCUAGUACCGCAUGACAACAGUUAUUGCAUGAUAACUGUUUAAAAGGGGCAACUGCUCCACUACCAGAUGGACCUGCGUUGUAUUAGCUAGUUGGUGAGGUAACGGCUCACCAAGGCGACGAUACAUAGCCGACCUGAGAGGGUGAUCGGCCACACUGGGACUGAGACACGGCCCAGACUCCUACGGGAGGCAGCAGUAGGGAAUCUUCGGCAAUGGACGGAAGUCUGACCGAGCAACGCCGCGUGAGUGAAGAAGGUUGUCGGAUCGUAAAGCUCUGUUGUAAGAGAAGAACGAGUGUGAGAGUGGAAAGUUCACACUGUGACGGUAUCUUACCAGAAAGGGACGGCUAACUACGUG
rnacentral:rRNA from 1 species